rnacentral:snRNA from 1 species
GUGCUCGCUUCGGCCGCACAUAUACUAAAAUUGGAACGAUACAGAGAAGAUUAGCAUGGCCCCUGGGCAAGGAUGACACGCAAAUUCAUGAAGCGUUCUAUUUUUUU